GAUGAACGCUAGCUACAGGCUUAACACAUGCAAGUCGAGGGGAAACGAUAUUGGAAGCCUGCUUCCGAUAGGCGUCGACCGGCGCACGGGUGAGUAACGCGUAUCCAACCUGCCCAUCACUUGGGGAUAACCUUGCGAAAAUAAGACUAAUACCCAAUGAUAUCCGUCGAAGACAUCUGAAGUGGAUUAAAGAUUCAUCGGUGAUGGAUGGGGAUGCGUCUGAUUAGCUUGUUGGCGGGGUAACGGCCCACCAAGGCAACGAUCAGUAGGGGUUCUGAGAGGAAGGUCCCCCACAUUGGAACUGAGACACGGUCCAAACUCCUACGGGAGGCAGCAGUGAGGAAUAUUGGUCAAUGGACGAGAGUCUGAACCAGCCAAGUAGCGUGCAGGAUGACGGCCCUAUGGGUUGUAAACUGCUUUUAUAAGGGAAUAAAGUGGGAGUCGUGACUCCUCUUGCAUGUACCUUAUGAAUAAGGACCGGCUAAUUCCGUGCCAGCCGCCGCGGUAA
rnacentral:rRNA from 1 species